rnacentral:rRNA from 1 species
GCCUGACCCUAAAUCUUGAUAUUCCACCCUACUUGAAUAUCCGCCCGAGAACUACGAGCACAAACGCUUAAAACUCUAAGGACUUGGCGGUGCCCCAAACCCACCUAGAGGAGCCUGUUCUGUAAUCGAUGAUCCACGAUACUACCUGACCAUUUCUUGCUCAAAACAGCCUAUAUACCGCCGUCGCCAGCUCACCUUCCCUGACAGCCCAACAGUGAGCGCAAUAGCCCAACCACGCUAAUAAGACAGGUCAAGGUAUAGCCUAUGGAAUGGAAGCAAUGGGCUACAUUUUCUAAACUAGAACAUAACGGCAAAGGGACAUGAAACUGUCCCUAGAAGGCGGAUUUAGCAGUAAAGUGGGACAAUUGAGCCCUCUUUAAGCCGGCUCUGGGGCACGU